rnacentral:lncRNA from 1 species
CACAAUGAGGUUACUGUAGUUUGACUGUACAUACACUUGGUCCCUAGCCAUUCGGGUCCUUGCGGUGCAUGUUGGCUGCAGUAGGUUCAUUGUAGGAAUAGGGUGCGCACUCAGAUGGAAUCUAUCUCCCUUGGUAGAUAGGGGUGUUAGUCCUAUGUGAUUUAUGAGACUGAGUUUAGAAGACCUUGGCCAGGGCAGAAUAAAAUAGCGGAAAAGGGUUUCCGAUAUUAGAAACUCGAGUCGAAUAAAUUUAACAUAUGACAGACGAUGGGGUUUGACGAGUUAUUCCAUAACCUCCGUCUAGUCGGGACUCAUGAUAGAAGGAUUGUAUCACACGGUAACUGCACCAAGAGGUUCAGUAUUCCAUUCUACUGGAAUGCCACUACAUGCUGCUAGGCGUCACUCGUGGAUUGUGAGACUCAUGAGAAUUAUCUAGAUGAUCGAUAAUUCUCAUUGGGCUGAGUUGGAAUUGUUCCGAUCCACUGAAAGGAGUUUCAGUGAUAUUGUUGAUAGUGAUCAAAAUAUAUCUCACUACCAGAUAGAAUAGAACCUAUGGGGUCACACACAUAAGAGGUUGUGAUUGAUCGGAUAGCUAGAUCGCGAUUAUUGAAUUGCCGGAGGACCUAAUUGUCAAUAUAAUGAUAAUUGGACUAAUUUGUAAUUAUUACAAAUUAGUGGUAUUAAAGUGUAAAUGUUACUAGAGAGGACUUACUAAUAGUUAGUAAAUUAUAAGAGGACUUAUGUGCAAAUGUUGCAUUAUUAAUUUGAUAAGAUCAAAUUAAUAUAAAAUUCAAGUCGAAUCAAAUUAGGAUUUGAUCGAUCUAACUAAUUAAGGAAAAGAUAAAUUUAAAUCUAGAUUUAUAUUUAUCCUUAAUUGUCAUUAUAUUAUUAGGAAUAGAAUUAUAUUCCUAUAUAUAAUAUACGAGAGUUUUUAGAAAGCUCUAGCCGUUAUCUAUCCUCUCUUCUCUCUUCCAUCUUCUAGCAAGAAAGACGUCCUUUUGCAAGGGAGCUAGCACCCCGGUGAGGAUAUUGAUCAAAUCAAGAACCUCGUGUGGAUACCUAUAGAGGCCGGACGCGUGUGCGGCUUCAAGAGAACCCGAUUUCACGAUCAUCAAAUUGAUGCAAGGAUUUAUCCGCGAAAAAGGUAAUGAUUCGAUCUUACUUUUCUCCUUUAAUCUUAAAGAACAUGAGGGAUCCUAAUUGCGUGGUUUUUGAGAUUGGAUCUCGAGAGUUUUUAAAAAUCAAAUUUGUUUGAUUUCUUUUUCCGCUGCGUUUUUACCGUACGCAAUUUUCUAAUAGUGGUAUCAGAGCCAUCCUCAUGUUUUUAAGAUUAAAAUUAUGAAUUUAGGUAUUCUAAACCGUUUUUUGCCGGUAGAACGAUUUAUAGAUCGUUUUUGGCUAAUUCGAAAAGUCCGAAUUGAUGAAACAAUUUAAUUAAUGAUUUCUUGUUUUCUAUAAAAAAAAAAAACAAAAAAGAGAAAAAAAAAAAGUUACUGUUGCAAUUGCUGUAGCAUCCGUACGGACGCUACUGUAGCGUCUGUACGGACAUCAAAAAUUUUUUAAAAUUUUUAAUUUUUUUGUAAUAAAUUGAUUAGAUCAAUUCAAUUUUUAAAUAAAAGAAAAAGGGAAAUCUAAUUUGAUUAGAUCAAAUCUUGAUGAGAUCAAGUUGUUAUUUUUGACAAUUAAAUUUUUGAUCAAGAUUAUAAACGUUCAAUAAGAUUGAUUGUUUUUAGUGAUUUAGUCACUAUUAUUUUUCGAAUCAUCUUUUAACGGUUAAUUAGAAUACCCAAAAUUUUUUAUUUAUAUGUGAUGUAUGAGAUACAUAUCGGUGAUGAUCAUGGAUAGCGACCUAUUUAUAUUUCGACAUGUGAUGUAUGAUGUGUAUGCAGAAUCCUGUAAUUUUAAAUUUGUUUAAAUUAAGGAAUUUGUAUUAGAGAUGGCUAUAGUUGUGCCUGCGUGCACAAGCCGAUUUAUUUGGAGACCUGCGUGUCUCAAUAGAUUAGAGAUAAAAGUUAUCAAAUGUAAUUAAUUUUUAUUUCAUUUUUUAUUAUUGGGUUGUAUAAUGUUUGGUUGCACGUCAUUGGUUGAUCGGUUGCAAGCCUAAAAGUUCGCAAGGCCCGGAUAGAGACGAAUACUUGAUGGCGGUCGGAUCAAGGUGUUGAUAAGGAUCGGAUCAAGUUGAAGCUCCAGAUCGGAUCAAGAAGUUGAAGACAAUCAAACCAAUGACGUGUGUGUGCUUGUAAUUUAUGACCCUAAGACCCCGAUUCCGACUCAGUGGCUCGAGUCCGAAUCCACUUCUAAGAUCCAUGAUCAUCACCAGUUUAAUUAUGUUUGUUUGCGCGGAUUGAUUUUUUAUUUUAUUUGCAUUAGAUGUAAAUAAAUAAAAUAUUUUUUGAGACCUAAAUAAAUCUCCUCAUAAAUAUUAAGUCGAGCGGUCUUCCGCCGUUGUAGAAGUGCGGGCGCUUUUCUGGUGUUGAUUGGCACGGCUGGUUACAGUGGUCAGUUGCAUCGGGAAUUCGCAACCACUCUAUUAGCAUGAGAUGCUGCGGAGUAAAGAUGGGGUUGGGCCCAAUAACUGUCAGGUGAGGGACCCAAUGACGGCUUUGCUUACGCGUUUGAACGGUGGGUCUGACUUAACUAAGGAAUGGGGCCAAUAACUGUCAGGUGAGGCCUACAGGACUUAGAGACCGAUCACUGCAAUUUGCUUGAGAAGCAUUGGACAAGAGUUGUCCACUCAUCGGUUUGCAUAUCACCAAUAACUGUUAGGUGAGGUGGUACGUUAAAUUGGUGGGACCGCAGUACCCACUUGAAACCUCUUGUCGCGUUGGGUUUCCGUUUCUCUACCCGAGGAGUGUAAGAGACUCGAGAAAACAGUGGGAGGCUAAAUUUGUUUUUAAAAUCCCUAAAACAAUUUUUCAAAACAAAUACAAAUAUCUAACUUGAAUCUUUACUCUCUGCAAAGUAAAUGUCUGCUUCCAAUUAUCUCUCUCGUAUUCUCGACACAAAAUCCUUAACUGAAAUUAAUUAUAAAGACUGGCUAAGGAAUUUAAAAAUAGUUUUAAAUUCCAAUAAGCUCUGCAUUGUUCUCGACCAGGUAAACCUCACGUUGCCAAAACGUCCAAUAACUAACAGAAGGGCAGUCCGUUCAUGAUCAUUGUUUGACAAUGAUCAUAGACCUCGAGGAGCUUGAGAAGCUUGGCGUAAAAUGGAUAAGGAAUUGCAAGUUGAUCUGAUCCUGCAAUCCCUUCCUGUAUCAUAUGGACAGUUUAUUGUAAACUACCAUAUGAAUAAAAUUGACUGCACCAAUGCAGAGUUAUUGAACAUGUUGGUAAUAAUAGAGGGGACUUUUGAAAAGUUCAAAGGGAACGGUUCACGUUGUGGAGCGAGCUUCCUCUUCUAAAAGAAAGUCUAAUUGGAAGAAGAAACCCGCGAAGAAACAAAAGACGGAGAACAAGCCCAAGAAGGAAGCUCCUAAGAAAAGGGCCGCUAAUAAAGGAAAAUGUUUCCACUACAAUGUUGACGGUCAUUGUGAGAGGAACUGUCCUUUCUACCUGGAGAGCUUAAAGAAUAAGAGGAAGGACACACCUUCGGAAGGUAUGUCAGACUUGCUCGUAAUAGAAACUAACGGUUUCCUCUACUUCCAGAAAGAGAAAGUAGAGGGCUUAGGGAAGGUGAAGUGACCCUACGGGUAGGCAACGGGGCAAGAGUUGCUACUGUGGCUGCUGGCACCUAUCCUUUGCGACUACCGUCAGGAUAUGUUUUAUUACUUAAAGACUGCAAUUAUGUACCUCCUGCUAGCAGAAAUUUGAUUUCUGCACAGGAUGGUUUAAUUUUGACAAAAACUACUGCAUAAUUUAUUUUAGAAAUAAAAUUAUUGGCCGUGGUUUUAUGAUUGACAGUCUUUAUCAUUUACAUAUGGAUGUAUCUACAAAUAUUUCUGAGCAAGUAGUGACUGCUGUUGGGUCUAAGAGACCUAGAGAUGAGAUGAACCUAAAGUAUAUGUGGCACCUCAGGCUUGGUCAUAUUGAAGAAGAAAGGAUCAAUAAAUUGGAUAAAGAUGGGCUUCUCGGCUCAUUGACUUCAGAGUCUUAUCCAGUUUGUGAAUCUUGUCUUCAAGGAAAAUUGACUAAAUUACCCUUUGUAGGACAAGGGGAAAGGGCCACUGAGAUACUUUCCUUGAUACACACUGAUGUGUGUGGGCCAUUUGAUGUGCAUGCUAGGGGAGGUUAUCUCUACUUCAUAACAUUUACCGAUGAUUAUUCACGGUAUGGGUAUGUGUAUCUUGUAAAACACAAGUCUGAGAAUUUUGAAAAGUUCAAAGAAUUCAGAUAUGAAGUAGAAAAACAAACUGAAAAAUCCAUCAAGGUUCUUCGAUCAGAUCGAGGAGGAGAAUACCUUAGUGGAGAGUUCCUAAAUUAUCUCAAAGAAAACGGCAUAGUCUCACAGUGGACUCCUCCGGGAACACCUCAACUCAACGGGGUGUCAGAACGGAGAAACCGAACCUUAUUGGAUAUGGUUCGAUCUAUGAUGAGCUUCACUGAUCUUCCUUUAUUUCUUUGGGGACAUGCUUUGCUUGCCGCUGCUUAUUUGUUAAAUAGGGUUCCCUCUAAAUCCGUUACUACCACGCUGUAUGAGAUGUGGCAUGGUAAGAAACCAAGUCUUGGUCAUAUCAAGAUUUGGGGGUGUCCGGCCUAUGUUAAGCGACUACAGGCGGACAAGUUAGAGGCUAGGUCUGAGAGGGCUCGUUUUAUUGGAUAUCCUAAAGAAACCUUAGGUUACCAUUUUUAUAUCCCAGAGAAUCACAAUAUAGUUGUGAGCAAACAUGCUAUUUUCUUGGAAAAACAGUUUAUUCAAGAAGCUAGUGGGAGAAAAAUUGAGCUUGAAGAGAGAGUCUCUGAAGAGCAACGAGUCAUCAAACCUAUAGAACCUAUUCAAGUUGAGCCAGUACAUGUUGUACCUCCUCCACUUCGUAGGUCGAGUAGAAUCUCCCAUACCACUAAAAGAUACUUAGGUAUCGUUACAGAGGAAGUAGAGGAAAUGUUCCUCAUGGGAGAUAGGGAACAUGGAGAUAAUCCCAAAACCUACAACCAGGCGAUGUCUGACAUUGAUUCCGAGAAAUAGCUGGAUGCCAUGAAGUCAGAAAUUCACUCAAUGCAUUCCAACCAGGUUUGGAUUUUGGUAGAUCCACCAGAAGGUAUAGUACCUAUUGGGUGUAAAUGGAUCUACAAAAGAAAGAUAGGUUCGGAUGGAAAGGUAGAGACCUAUAAAGCAAGGCUGGUUGCAAAAGGUUAUAGUCAACGCGAAGACAUUGACUAUCAGGAGACCUUUUCACCUGUGGCCAUGCUUAAAUCUAUUCGAACACUGCUUGCCCUUGCAGCAUACUAUGAUUAUGAGAUCUGGCAAAUGGAUGUGAAAACUGCUUUCCUAAAUGGAUAUCUUGAGGAAGAUAUCUAUAUGGAGCAGCCUUUGGGUUUCACUUCCGGUGACGAAAGUCACAAAGUAUGCAAGUUGCAACGGUCCAUUUAUGGACUUAAGCAAGCAUCUCGGACUUGGAAUACUCGUUUCGAUAACGUGAUUAAAUCGUUUGAUUUCGUUAAGAAUGAGGAGGAACUAUGUGUUUAUAAGAAGGUCAGUGGGAGAGCUGUCACAUUCCUCGUAUUGUACGUGGAUGACAUUCUCUUAAUUGGGAAUGCCAUUCCAAUGCUGACUUCAGUUAAAAUAUGGUUGUCUAAAGAAUUCUCCAUGAAAGAUCUAGGGGAAGCAUCCUAUAUUUUGGGGAUAAAGGUCUAUAGAGAUAGAUCUAAAAGGAUGCUAGGCCUCUCACAGAAAAUGUACAUAGAAGAGGUGCUGAAGAGGUUCGGCAUGGAAAACUCCAAAAGGAGACUUUUACCUCUUAGACAUGGAAUUUAUCUCUUUAAGAAAAUGUGCUCCAAUACAUUUGAAGAGAUUCAAUUUAUGAGUAAGAUCCCUUAUGCCUCAGCUAUAGGGAGUCUUAUAUACACCAUGUUGUGUACACGAUCUGAUAUCGGGAUUGUUGUGAGUUUCACAAGCAGAUAUCAAUCUAAUCCAGGCGAUGAGCACUGGAUUGCUGUGAAGAACAUACUCAAGUACUUGGGAAGCACUAAGGAUAUGUUCUUGAUCUUUGGAGAAAAAGAGUUGAAAGUACAAGGAUAUACUGAUUCAGACUUUAUGUCUGAUGUUGACGAUAGAAAGUCUACGUCAGGAUGUGUGUUCUUAUGCGAUAGUGGUUUGAUGUAUUGGAAGAGUUCCAAACAACCACUCUACCAUGGAAGUAGAGUAUAUCGCCGCAUCUGAUGUAGGUCUUCUGAUUCAUGAAGUUUGUCGCGGAAUUAAGUGUGAUGUCAUCGGAUGCCAUACCACUCUAUUGCGACAACAAUGGCGCCAUAGCCUUAGCUAAGGAGCCCAGGUCUCAUCAGAAGUCCAAGCAUAUAGAGCGGCGGUUUCAUAUUAUACGCGACUAUCUCGACAAGAAAUACAUCGAGAUGCAGAGAGUAGACUCCACGGAUAACGUGGAAGGCCCAUUGACUAAACCACUUAGCCAGCAGAAGACUGAAGUCCACCUUGAGAAGAUGGGGCUUAGGUAUAUGGCUGAUUGGCUUUAGUGCAAGUGGGAGAUUGUUAGAUGUAUGCCCUAGAAGCCAACCAGGCCGACACAUGUAUUCUUUCUAGGACAUAAUUUUGUAUUUGAUUUUAAAAUAUUAUGAAUAACUUUGGGUUUUUAUUUCCAUUCAUGUUGUGUAUGUGUCCAUGAAUCGUCCAAGGAAUUAAUAAGAUGAUGACAUAUAUUCUCAAGAGUUGAGAAUUUGAGACAUGUGUCAUUGGUGGUUAAUUCCUAAAUGCUCCCGAUCAAUGGAUCAUCACGGGGACGGUGAUUGAUCCAGUGAGAUUGGUGCAUAGGUCGCUUCCCUUUUGGGUAGACGAGUCUCGAGUCGACAGUGUGGGGACACUGAAGCGAAUAUGCAGGUGGUUGUUAGAGAACAAGGGUACCGAGCGUGACCAACGCGAGAAGUCACUUGGAUGUCUACUCACUCGUCAGUGACUUACUCAAUUGUUGCAGUAGUGUGACUGGUCCUUUGACCUGCGGUGCCUCGGCUAUUCACAAUGAGGUUACUGUAGUUUGACUGUACAUACACUUGGUCCCUAGCCAUUCGGGUCCUUGCGGUGCAUGUUGGCUGCAGUAGGUUCAUUGUAGGAAUAGGGUGCGCACUUAGAUGGAAUCUAUCUCCCUUGGUAGAUAGGGGUGUUAGUCCUAUGUGAUUUAUGAGACCGAGUUUAGAAGACCUUGGCCAGGGCAGAAUAAAUAGCGGAAAAGGGUUUCCGAUAUUAGAAACUCGAGUCGAAUAAAUUUAACAUAUGACAGACGAUGGGGUUUGACGAGUUAUUCCAUAACCUCCGUCUAGUCGGGACUCAUGAUAGAAGGAUUGUAUCACACGGUAACUGCACCAAGAGGUUCAGUAUUCCAUUCUACUGGAAUGCCACUACAUGCUGCUAGGCGUCACUGGUGGAUUGUGAGACUCAUGAGAAUUAUCUAGAUGAUCGAUAAUUCUCAUUGGGCUGAGUUGGAAUUGUUCCGAUCCACUGAAAGGAGUUUCAGUGAUAUUGUUGAUAGUGAUCAAAAUAUAUCUCACUACCAGAUAGAAUAGAACCUAUGGGGUCACACACAUAAGAGGUUGUGAUUGAUCGGAUAGCUAGAUCGCGAUUAUUGAAUCGCCGGAGGACCUAAUUGUCAAUAUGUUGAUAAUUGGACUAAUUUGUAAUUGUUACAAAUUAGUGGUAUUAAAGUGUAAAUGUUACAAGAGAGGACUUACUAAUAGUUAGUAAAUUAUAAGAGGACUUAUGUGCAAAUGUUGCAUUAUUAAUUUGAUAAGAUCAAAUUAAUAUAAAAAUAAAGUCGAAUCAAAUUAGGAUUUGAUCGAUCUAAUCAAUUAAGGAAAGGAUAAAUUUAAAUCUAGAUUUAUACUUAUCUUUAAUUGUCAUUAUAUUAUUAGGAAUAGGAUUAUAUUCCUAUAGAUAAUAUACGGGAGUUUUUAGAAAACUCAAGCCGUCAUCUAUCCUCUCUUCUCUCUUCCAUCUUCUAGCAAGAAAGACGUCCUUUUGCAAGGGAGCUAGCACCCCGGUGAGGACAUCGAUCAAAUCAAGAACCUCGUGUGGAUACCUAUAGAGGCCGGACGCGUUUGCGGCUUCAAGAGAACCGAAUUCCACGAUCAUCAAAUUGAGGGGAAGAUCUAUCCGCGAAAAAGGUAAAGAUUCGAUCUUGUUUUUCUUCUUUAAUCUUAAAACAUGAGGGAUCCUAAUUGCGUGGUUUUUGAGAUUGGAUCUCGAGAGUUUUCAAAAAUCAAAUUUGUUUGAUUUUCUUUUCCGCUACGUUUUACCGUACGCAAUUUUCUAACAGUGGUAUCAGAGCCAGGUUCAUGUUUUUAAGAUUAAAAUUAUGAUUUUUGGGUAUUCUAAACCGUUUUUUGCCGAGAAAACGAUUUAUAGAUCGUUUUUGGAAAAUUCGAAAAGAUCAAAGUGAUUAACAAUAUAAUCGAUGGUUUCUAUUUAAAAAAAAAAAGAGUACUCUAGCGAUUUUACUGUAGCAUCCGUACGGAUGCUACUGUAGCAUCCGUACGGACGGAAUUUUUUUUAAAAUUUUUAAAUUUUUUUAAAAAAGGUUGAUUAGAUUGAAAAUAAAAGAUAAUGAAAAAGAUCUAAUUUGAUUAGAUCAAAUUGAUUUCUUGAUGAGAUUAAGAUGUUAUUUUUGUAGAUUUAAUUGUUGAUCAAAAUUAUAAUAAUCAAUAAGAUUGAUUAUGUUUAAUAAUUUAUUCUUUCGAAUCAUCGGUUAACGGUUAAUUAGAAUAUCCAAAAUUUAUUAUUAUGCAUGUGAUGUAUGAGAUACGGUGAUGAUCAUGGAUAGCAACCUAUUUAUUUUUGUUUCGACAUGUGAUGUAUGAUGUGUAUGCAGAAUCCUGUAAUUUUAAAUUUGUUUAAAUUAAGGAUUUUGCAUUAGAGAUGGCUAUAUUUGUGCCUGCGUGCACAAGCCGAUUUAUUUGGAGACCUGCGUGUCUCAAUAGGUUAGAGAUAAACGUUAUCAAAUGUAAUUAAUUUUUAUUUCAUUUUUUUAUUAUUGGAUUGUAUAAUGUAUGGUUGCACGUCAUUGGUUGAUCGGUUGCAAGCCUAAAAAUUCGCAAGGCCCGGAUAAAAAUGAAUACUUGAUGGCGGUCGGAUCAAAGUGUUGAUAAGGAUCAAAUCAAGUUGAAGCUCCAGAUCGGAUCAAGAAGUUGAAGAUGAUCAAACCGAUGACGUGUGUGUGCUUGUAAUUUAUGACCCUACGACCCCGAUUCCGACUCAGUGGCUCGAGUUUGAAUCCACUUCUAAGAUCCAUGAUCAUCACCAGUUUAAUUAUGUUUGUUUGCGCGGAUUGAAUUUUUAUUUUAUUUGCAUUAGAUGUAAAUAAAUAAAAUAUUUUUUGAGACCUAAAUAAAUCUCCUCAUAAAUAUU